UAAAACUUUCAACAACGGAUCUCUUGGUUCUGGCAUCGAUGAAGAACGCAGCGAAAUGC
rnacentral:rRNA from 1 species